rnacentral:sRNA from 1 species
AGUUUUUGUGGGAAGCUUUGUGACGUCUAAGGCUAGCGUUUCACCGGAGGGAUUUAGUAGUUAACGGUUGGUUUGUAUUUUAGGGUUUCGUCUUUGAGACUGGUUGUUUCUAUUUUUCAUGUCCAGUUUGCUUCAAGGUUGCUUUUGGUUUUAACUUGUUGUAGGACGUUUCUGGACUGUUUCAGACGCAAGGAGAGUCUCUCCUGGGUUUAAUUGUUGUUAGAAUCACUUUGUUAAGGUGAGUGCGUGACCAUGAGUUUAUCUGAGCGAUUGGGUUGUAUUUAUUGUUUUGUGUGAUGGUAUGUAGGUGUGGUGAAUGUGUUUUGGGUGAAUUGUUCAAUGACUGGUUUGUUUAUGAUGUAUUUGUGAUUAUACCCUUUUAAUUGCUUGUGUGUAUAGUUCGUAGAUGAGAUGAUCGCCUCACUAAGUAUUUGUGAUAAUAUUUACACAUCUCUUUCUUUUUGAUGCAGGUAAAGAUAAAGUGUGAUCGUAGAAUCAUGGGAAGGAAGAGAGGAUGAUUUAGGAACUCGUUUGAUUUAUUUUUGUGUUUUGGUUAUUGGAAUCCGGUUAGGGUUGUGUUAGGAUUGUUAGUCAUACUUGGUUUUGUUUGGUUGAAUUAUUUAUUUAUUCAUUAAAUAGUAUUUUUUGACUUGCUUUUUAAAUAUUAUUUUAUUGGUUGGUUUAAUUAAGUAUUUAUGGAAAUAUUUAAUUAUAU